GACUUAGUAAUUGUUAUCCCUUAAAAGAACAAGGAUAAAUCAUCUUGAUAACAUAAAUGAAGAUAAAAAGUGAAGUUGAUAUACAUACAUACACAUAUAUAUAUAUACACACACACUUUUGUUGGGACUAUUGGUGUCUGAGAUGGGUACACAUCUUUAUGUCUAACUUAUCAACUUUCUAAAUAGAAAAUAUAGGAUACAAAUCUAAAUUUAGGCUUAGGUGGUUGGAUAUGUUAUUUUAUAUAAAAUAAAAAUAAAAAUAAAAUAUAAAAUUAUAAAAUAACAAUUACUAUAUGUAUAAAUAAUCAAAUACAACCAAAUGCAUCAUCCAAACUACAAUACAAUAACUAUUUUCCAUCUAAGUGCACGCUCUUCAUUUUGAGAGAAAAGAAUGCUAUAUUAACUAUGCAUGAAUAUGUCACUCAAGUGUCCAAAUGCAUGGAUAUGUGUCAGGCACAUAUUCCAUGUUAUAUCCCAAGACAUAUAGCAUGGCAAAAUGAAGAGCGAGAAUAUUAGACAAUAUAUAUAUACUCAUGACAUUUAUGUCAAAGAUGAAAUAAUACAUGAAACAUGAAAUUAUACCAAAUAUGAGAUUGAGAACAUAGGAAAAUGGAGUUCAGCCAAGCAAUUUGCAAUGCUAGAGGCUAAACAUGAAACAUAAGCUCGGAAAAUGACGUGUGCCAUAUCACCAAGAACAUUAGAAUUCCUUUCUAAAAAAAAGCAACUAUAGCAUACUACAGAACUAUGACUUUCUUUCCACUGAAUUACUGACCAGUUGAUUCACUGAACCUUUUUGGCAUGCUAAUACAAAAGGAAUGACAAGCCAAUAAAAAUGUGUAAAAAGCUAAGCAAGAGGGGGGAGGGCAUAGAGAAAGAGGGAGCUCACCUGCAACAAAAUGUUGCUACUAAUCUAGUUUAGUAUCAACUGACCAAAAAAAAAUUGCUAACCAAACAAAAACCUUUAGUUUUAAAAAACCUCAAAUUUCCAAAUGGAAUCAGCCAAAUAAAAGGUCAAAUAUUAGGAAAUCAACUGGGGGGAAGAGAGAGAUACAUGCGAAAGAUGGUUGAAAAGAAUCCAAGGUGUUUUAUCGCAAUUGUCCCCCUUCAGUGAAAUUUCAAGGGGGAACAAAUUUGCAAUAUAGUUUUGAGAAAAGCACAUAUGAAAUAACAAAUGUUAGGAGCCUUCAAGACCCAAGCUACAGGCCCUUCAGCAAUUAUCAAGAAACUAUGUUCAUUGAUAAGUUUAGAUGCUAUUAAUUAUUUUUUUAAUUAUGAUUAUUACCAUUAAACAUAAUUACUAUCCAAUAUGCAGUUUUAAUAAAAAUAUCUAUCAUGCAACAUGCAUAACUAAAUUUAAUAUUAUUUACAUUUAAUUGUCAUGUUCCCCAUAUCUAGACGCAGCAUGCAGAAGUUACAAGUCGAUCAUUCAACAAUUUGCAGGAGCUGCCCAACAAUAUACAUCUACAAAUAAGUGAUUUGGAUUAAGCAGCAUAACUAUUAAACUCUAAUAGCAAUUGGAAUGACAUAGGGAGUGUUGGCUUGGUGGGGUAAAAAUUCUUUUACUGAGGACGGUAAAUCUCUCUAACCUUUCUAAAGUGUGUCAGAAUGCCAAUUGUGCAUUUCUUAGAGCACAUCACAGUAGUUUCUGCUCUAAAUCAAAGUCCUCUUUCUUGAUACAAAUAUUGUUAAUGCAAUUAAUUUGGAAUUACCCUUUUCACUUCCAUUCCAUCUAUUUUGAUUCUCCUCAAUGAUGGAGAUACUGCUGCUCUCUAACUUGCACUUGACAUUGGAGAUUGCCCUUUCCUUCCUGCUCACACCCUCUCUACUUCUUCCUCAUGCAUCACUCAUGCAACACUUCCUCCUCUGGAAAAAGCCCUCAUCUAUAAUAUAUAUAACUAGACACUGGUUACUGGAACCAUGGCAAAUAAAAAUCAGAGAGUAACCAUGUUUCUCAUCACCUUAAAAAAUUUGCCCUCUUUCUCUAUGCAAUUACACCAACUCAAGCCUGCUUAGAUUAGACAUUCUGACAUUACAACACCUUCAAGGAACACCCCCCACCCAAGUCCUCCAACAUUUUAUUGUUUGUCUCCUAUAUCAACUCACAUUAAUUAUUGCUCGUCUCCUAUAAUUAAUGUUUCCUUUCAUCUCUUAACUUAUAACAACAAAAUACACAGAGUCACACUCCUUAUGAAGAAUUGGUACAUCUCAAAUAACUGAUAGUCAUGAUGCCUAGUACCUCUUUGGACAAGGGCCAGCAUAUACCCAAAAAAGGAGAAAACUAAAGGCUAUAAUUAAUGAGUAAUUAGCAACAACCUAAUGCAAUUGAUAAUGGAGCUAUAAUUAAUGAGUAAUUAGCAACAACCUAAUGCAAUUGAUAAUGGAGUUUUGACAUUUCAGUCUUAUCUCACACAAAAUGUGAACCCAUAAAAAGAUGUCUUCUCUUCCUCAAAUUAGUAAGUGGCAAAUGCAACUUUGGACUGCUGUCCAUGCAAAGCAAUGAACAAAGUCUUCUCAUACUCUGUGUGCAUGCAUGGCAUGCACAUGCAGCAUUUUCUCAAAAAGAAUGGGUCACGUAGAAUAAAGAUACCAAUGUCACUUUGUAGGUAACUCCUUCAAUUUCAAAUUUUUUCUAUUAAUCCACAUCCUCUAUAAGUCCAAAAAAUUGGAUUUGAAUACAAUUUAUUGAUUUUCAUUUUACACGUUGCUUUGUUAAUAUCUAAAACUAAUAGAUUGCUUGUUCAAAAUUCUUUCUUGGAAUUGUUAGAUCUUAUUGCUCUCAACAUUUUACUGGAUGAUGCACAAAACUUUCUUCAUGUUGCAAGCCUAAUUAUUAGUUUAAAGAAUCUGGUGGUUUUAAUAAAAGAUACAGCAUCAAACAAAUAAAUUGGCUACCAGUUUCUGGUGGAAUUAUUUGGAAAAGUUCAUGUCCAUUUCCUCAGGGAUUAUUUAUAAAAUAUCAACAAAAAGGUAAUCACUUAAACACUGUUAUUACCAGAAAAGUAAAGUACAGCUCCAUUCAGUGUUUUAGCUAGAUGAUCCAAAAUUUGUGCAUCAUUGUACUUAAGCAACAACCAGACCAGAAAACAGUAUAAUAUAGACCAAUUCACUCCCAGCAAAGAAUAAUAACUUAAGAACAAUCACCACUACCAAAAUGAACUAAAAUGUGAUUAGGUGUUGUAAGUUUGUAACUAGAUGAUUCUAAGUUUAAUUUAUGCAUCGUUGUAGCAACUAGCAAGAACCAGACCCAAAACCAUUAUUGUAAAGACCAAUCCACUACACUUGGAAAAACACUGUAGCAUUAUCUCAAACAGAUCGAAGCCAUUGUGGACAGUCAUACUAGUCAUACUCAAGAGUGAACUAAUAUCACAUAUGAACAUAACAGCAUAUAACAAGAAAACUAUUAAUCAGGGGAAUAAAGUAUGACCUGCACAGAAGCUAGCAGGUACUAUCGUUAUGACCCAAAUGACAAAAGUUUGCACAAUUAGCAUUGCAUUAGUCAGUAGGAAGGCUAAAAUUUGGCAGGUAAUGAGAAAGCAAUAUUUGUAGGUUGACAAUUCCAAAGCACUCCUUAUGUAUAAUCAAAGAAGUCAAUGGACCAAAAAAGCCACGAUGAGAAUGAAAAUGAUGAAGAGAUACAGGAUCAGAUGACUUGCAAGUUACGACCAAGGUAACUAAGUUGGCAGACAUUCACUGAGUAGGUCAAUGAGGUCGAGAUGGCUGACUUCACCAAGUCGACCCGACAUUGCUUGACCUAUAUAAGAGAGCUUGUAUUUACUAUUUAAACAUAGUUAUCAAAGGCAUGCUGAGAGAUUCUAGACAUAGGAAUAGACAAGAGUCUGAGUGACACAAGGAUCGAAAAAGUUUAUUAAAAAAUCAAUAUUAAUUCCACAACAUUUUUAAGAAAUUAUUAAUCUUUAGAGAAAAGAAAUUAUGUUAUCCAAACAAAUUGAGAAAAAAAGAAGUAACAAUUUCC
rnacentral:lncRNA from 1 species